rnacentral:lncRNA from 1 species
UUAAAGUAGAAUAAUGAAGUAAUGACCUGCAAUUAGCAAGUAGAUAUAGGAAGAUGUGGUGUGAGUGCCAAUGAGACAACUCUCCAUCCAAAUAACAAUUUAUAAAAGUAAACCAUUAUAGGUCAAUGAACGUCCUUCAACAUAGAGCCUUGGCUCACACUGAACAACAAGCUAUAAAGGGCCCCAAAAUUACUAGUGUAAAACCAUUCAAACGGGAAAACCAACGGGUAGCAGUCUGUUUAGUUAAAUUUUGUAAAAAUGAGCUAAAAACUUUGCAUAUUUAUUAUUUUUUUCCAAGACUAUAAUUUAACCUCAUUUUGGUCUGUAUGCAUGCAACAUUUAAUAGGUACCAUUGUAGUAGAAGGUUGCUCAGCUUGGUCAGAUAAUAAAAAGAACAGAAUGUCAAAAUAAAAAAAUGAAACAAGGGAGCCACCGCACACAACAGGUUUGGUGACUGGUUUUUCCAACAAAAAUAUGAAUCUUAUACAAAAUUGAAAAUAAUGUCAGAGACAACAACCCAACCAAAGAGCAGAAAACAGCCGAAGGCCACUAAUGGCUCUUCAACUCAACCAGAAAAUUCAGCAUCAGGAGGCAGGCUUCAGCAGGCCCUACACAAAAAUGUGUACUAGUUCGGUAAAAGUGGAUGUCAUACUAAACUCAAAAACAUAAAUGAACUAAAAUUAAAAAACAUACAAGACUAACAAAGGCCAGAGGCUUCUAACUAGAGACAGGUGCAUAAAUACAGUGGGUUAAACAGGUUUGAGAGAUCUCAACCCACACCUAUACCUCUAGGAGCCAAUGUAGAAAAAACAAUUCACACAGUAAAACUCAUUUAAAAAGAAGUCUGUGUCCCAUGUCAGAAAAGGUAACAUAAGAAACAGACUAACUAAGCCAAAUGGCAAUAGUUUUGGUAUUUUUACAGCAGUUACAAUGCUAAAUUUCAUGGAAAAAUAAAGUAAAAAAAAGUUAAUUAAAAAAAAAAAAAUUUUUGAAUUUUACUUUAAAGAAAAUAAAAUAAAGUUUAAUUGAUUUUAUUCUUAUAUGCCCGUAUGUAAUUUUGUAUAUUUAUUUAUGUUUCAUUUCAGAGUUCACCAACAGAUGUUUAAUUCUAUAAUUUUGAUUUUUGCAGAUUGCAGCAGGGGGAUGUUACAGUCAUAGACCUUGAAUAGACUCCGUUGUACUAGACCAGGGAGGGUAGCGCAUAGUUUCCGCAGCAGCACUAUACAAUAGUAACAAGAUCACUCUACCAUGAGCUUGUUAAAGGGCCCGUUUGAUGAAAGUGACACCAACGUUCUCCAAAACACUACAGAUUUUUUUUGCAGAUGCAGCCGAGAGGAUGUUUCAGUCAUGGACCCAUUUGAUGGAAGUGACACCAACGUUCUCCAACACUAAUAAUUUACAAUUUUUUUUUGUUUUAGAUGCAACCUCAGUCAUAGACCCAGAGUAUGGCUAUGUUGUAACAGAUGAAGAAAAGUGGCAUAUAGAUUUCUGUAUGUCCAUUUCUUUGUAUAAAAGUGACAAAUUACUAAUCUUUCUUAUUUAUAUCCAUUUCAGAG